UACGUAGGGGGCGAGCGUUGUCCGGAGUUACUGGGCGUAAAGGGCAUGCAGGCGGUCGGACGCGUUUUCGGCUGACAGCGGGUGGCUUCACUACCCGAGUGGUCGAAAGACGGUUUGACUUGAGGACGCGAGAGGGACACGGAAUUCCGGGUGGAGUGGUGAAAUGCGUAGAGAUCCGGAGGAACACCGAAGGCGAAGGCAGUGUCCUGGCGCGUGACUGACGCUGAGGUGCGAAAGCCAGGGGAGCGAACGGG
rnacentral:rRNA from 1 species